AUGGAGGCCCAGUGCAAGGAGGCGGCCGCCCUGGUGAAAAAGAUCGCCAGCAUCCACGCCGCCCUCUCCAAGCUGCCGCCCCUGAGCCCGUCUUCCGACGCCGACGCGCUGUUCACCACGCUCGUCGCCGCGUGCGUCACGUCGAGCCCCGCCGUCAAUGUCACGUCGCUGGGCCCCGAGGCCGGGAGGAUGCGUGACGACCUCGUCCGACUCUGCGCGGACGCCGAGGCGCGCCUCGAGGCACAAUGCGCCGACGCGCUCGCCGCCCUCGACGGCGACCCGCUCGACCACCUGGGGCGCCUCUUCCCGUUCUACGACAGCUACGCCCGCCUGGGCGAGCUGGAGCACGCGCUCUUAUCCCGGCACGCGCCGGACCACCUCGCCGUGCCCGCGCGCGUCGCGUUCCUCGGGUCGGGCUCGCUGCCGCUCAGCCCGCUCCUGGUCGCCGCGCGCCACAUGACGGACGCGGCCGUCGACUGCUACGACCGGUGCGCCGCGGCCAACGACCGGGCGAGCAGGCUGCUGCUGCGCCCGCGCGCCGACGACGACGAGAAGCGUGGCGGCCUGGCCGAACGCAUGUCGUUCCGCACGGCCGACGUCGAGGACCUGACGCGCGAUCUCGCCGCGUACGACGUGGUCCUCCUGGCGGCGCCCGUCGGCGUGUCGCCGGGGCAGAAGGCACGCGUUGUGGCGCACCUGGGCGAGCACAUGGCGGAUGGCGCGGUGCACGUCGCGCGGAGCGCGCACGGGGCACGCGGGUUCCUGUGCGCCGUCCUGGAACCCGCGGACGUCGCCCGGGGCGGGUUCCAGGUGCUGGCGGUGCACCACCCCGACGACCGCCAGGUGAUCAACUCCAUCAUCGUCGCCCGUAAGGUGGCGGCUGUGGGUGGACUCUCCCAGCUCGCGCCGCCGGUGUUGAGCCCGCCGUGCAAGUGCUGCGAGCCAAAGACACCGCGCAGGAGACUGCUGCCGACGACCUGCCACCUCGACGCGAUGAACGAAAUCCGUAGGCGCGCAUGGUAA
rnacentral:rRNA from 1 species